CUUACCAGGUCCGGACACAGGAAGGAUUGACAGAUUGAUAGCUCUUUCUUAAUUUCUGUGGGUGGUGGUGCAUGGCCGUUCUUAGUUCGUGGAACUGAUCUGUCAGCUUAAUUGCGUUAACGAACGAGACCUUUAAUUAUUAAUUAGUUAAAUAUAUUUUUAUAUACUUUAUUUUCUUCUUUUUUAAGAGAAAGAAAACAUGACUUCUUAAAAUAACAAUUGGUGAUUAACCAAAGUAAGUUAAAGGCAAUAACAGGUCUGUGAUGCCCUUUAGAUGUUCUGGGCUGCACGCGCGUUACACUGAAAAUAUCAAUAAGUUUUUAUAUAUCCAAACAAUAAAAUCUUUUUUCUUGUUUUGAUAUGUCCUUGAUUGAAAAAUUUGGGUAAACUUGAUAACUAUUUUCGUGAUGGG
rnacentral:rRNA from 1 species